CUCUCUCUCUCUCUCUCUCUCUCUCUCUCUCUCUCUGCGUGUGGAAUUAUAUAUAAUAAGGCCUUGUUUGGUUGAAACAGUAGCAAAAAGAAGAAGGAGAUCGAUGAUGGUGGAGUUGUUUGUGCUAGGGUGUACUGGAGUCGUUCUGUUUCUCCACGGAGCCAAUUUCUUCUUUCAUGUUCUCACUCAACAUGUUGCCAUUCGAUCACUCAGUUUCUUUGGAUCUGUUGGAUGGUAGAUCAAGACAUAAAUGCUGCAGCCAUAUGAAUUUCUUCACGCCAAGUUUUCGUGUAGUAUGGAGAAUAAAUACAAUUUCAAAGAAGGAAUGGAGUUUAUUUUGCACCUGCCGUGAAGCUUUGUAUAUAUUUAUUAUGGUCAACAUUUUGGCAAGCUUAAUUUGGUGCAUAAUGGGUGAAAUAAUGAAAUAAAUGGAAGGGUUUCGUUGAAAGUUUAAUGGAGCCAAACUAUGUCGCAAAUUAUAAUCCAAUAUUUACUUCCAAUUCUCACCAAUGAAUACUCCACUCCAUUAGUAGUAGUAGUUAACUUCUUCCUCAA